rnacentral:lncRNA from 10 species
GGCGGGGGGCACUUCCUUUUGAAGUUUCAGAUGUAUAUUGGAGGGAGCAGAAUUCCUUUGUGAUUUCUUCCUUAAUACAUUGUGUCCCUGAGGUGGUCCCUGUUCUUCCUGUCUCCUGUCAGCCCCCUGGCUCAGAGGACGGCUGAAUGGAGUUGCAUUUCAGUGCCCACAGAUGGAGGUGAUGACUGAAGUGUGUUUGCUUAUGUGGGGAGUGAGAUGAUGGCUUUGGUGUCUGAGUGGAUGCUAGUGCCUUGAGUGGCCAGCAGAGGGCAGUGGUGACCCAUAGCUGUGACAACCGUGAGGCGUGUGGUCAGUGAAUCUGCAUGGGCACAACCUGAGAGGGGCUUUUGUUGGAGUGGGGAGAUUCUUUCGGACUUAAGCUUUGUGCGUGGUAUAUCCAGAAUCAGAUGGGCCAGUGCCAAGUUCAGUCAGGUUCUCAGCCUUACAGUGAAGGAAAAGGUUAGUGACUUGUAUUUCAGCCCAAAGCCUACUGGAAGUGUCAAGCUGCCAGCUCCCCUCUGCCCUCCCCGUUGCUAUGGCAGCCAUGUCUCUGUGUGUGAAUAGGUGAACCAGGCUCCAGGUUAGGACCUCUGCCCACCUAGCUCCAGGUUACAUGCAGGAAAAGAUCUGUCUAUUGCUGCAUGUGAACAAGGAGAUCCCAUAUUUCUAGCAGGUCACAGAGGCAGCAGUCCAUUAUCACUUGCCUGCCCACCUACCCUGGGCAACCAGCACAUGGCUCCUUAGACCUUGAAGAUGGAGGCCUGGGGACAGAAGGAGCAGAGUUGGGGGCUAGUGAUAGGGCCUGGGAAAUGUUCUUGUCUGUUUCAAGUUUAUCUUGUAUUUUGGGGCCCUGGUCUCCUCAGUCUUCCAGCCCAACAGGUGUGAGCGUCCAGGGCCACCACCCGGAAGCCAGCUGCCUCUUCAUGGGGAAAUCUUUGAAAUUCAAGGCUUGGCCAUCUGGAUAUGCAAAUGUUCCAGAUUUGCUGAGCCCACCAAGUGGCUGAGCCCCCCAUGCAUGGGAGAGCUUAGGCCAGCCUGUAUGUGUGUGUGCAGAAGGGGACUGCACAUGUGUUCAGGAGCUUGAGAGUGAGAAUUGUGAGCAUGUACACUCCUUAGUGUUUAUGCAUCAGGGUGUGAUGCAUAAACACGAAGGCUCUGUAGCCUUUGAAGAACAGGAUCAGAUCUGGGUUUGAAUCACAAGACCAUGGGUUUUCAGUUGGGCAAUAAACUUAUCUGUCUUUUGCUUUGAUUUUCUCAUCUAGAAAACGGGCACUUGGUCACCAGCCUGACCCAUAGGCAAUGCUUGGUGGAAAAUGACCUUAUCAAAUUAAAGGGUUGUGACCGUGGGUGCUUAUGGUUCAGGGAGGUAGGCCUGGACAGUGAGACAUCUUUCUUGGAUUCCUGUACAUGCUAGAGGUUUGCCCUCCUUUGAGCUGGGCUAGCUCCUGGGACAUCCAGGGACCUGGGGAAGACUGGCUGGGCCCUUUUGCAGCCUAUGGCUCACAUGCCCACUUGUUAAGGCCUGCAAGAGUGUGCCCACAAACAGGGUGAGCAGGCAGAAUAAUGGCCAUGGCUAGCCAGACUGUGUGUCCUUGCCCAGUGUCUGUCUGUCCUUCCCCUUACCUUGGGGGACAAAAGGGAAUCCAGUUGUCCUGCCUGGUGAAUAAAAGCCUGGGGUUGGGGGAGGAUUUGCCUCCAGCCACGGAGGAGGGGUAUGCUGUGGAAGGAGGCCAGAUCUCCCCCAGCUGUUUCCCAGCUCUGUUUGAAGGGGAAGGGAGAGGGAUAAAUGACUGGGUGAUUGUGGCACCUACAGCCAGCAUCUUUCCUCUCCACAUUCUAGGUCACAGGCCCACACCUCUCUCCCUAGUCAAAGAGAGCCUCUGUGAGGGGGUUGAAGGGUGUCUUGGAUCUGUGGGCAGGACUUGGGAUCUGGGCACAGAGAGGUUGGGGAAUUAACAAAGGUCACACAGCCAGGCAAAACUAGGGAAUGUGGGGAGUCAUUCUAGACAGGACCUUUAGGGGGAGCUCCCUGGCUACAAGAGAUUUCCUGGAAGCCCUUGGGUGGGCCCAGGCCUGAACUGAGGAAGUGAGGGCUACAGCCCAGCUGGCCUUGCACUGGAACCACAGGAGUGGCCUUUAAGGGUGUGCUGAAGGACUGAUGAAUCUUGGCCCUGUUCCCACACACAUGCACCACUGGGAAUGGGAGUGGGGAGAUUGCUGAGCUCUGGGGCCAGCCCUGUUUCCUGCUUUGGAUUUGGAAUGGGGAGAGCCUUUCUGGGGACUGAAACUGGUGCUUCAGCUUCUCUAGGGGGAAAUGG